rnacentral:rRNA from 1 species
UACGUAGGGUGCGAGCGUUAAUCGGAAUUACUGGGCGUAAAGUGUGCGCAGGCGGCCGAGCAAGUCGAGUGUGAAAGCCCCGAGCUUAACUUGGGAACUGCGCUCGAAACUACUUGGCUGGAGUGUGGCAGAGGAAGGUGGAAUUCCACGUGUAGCGGUGAAAUGCGCAGAUAUCAGGAGGAACACCGGUGGCGAAGGCGGAUCUCUGGGCCGUAACUGACGCUGAGGAGCGAAAGCAUGGGGAGCGAACAGG